AUGGCUUACUAUUCAGAUCAUCAGGCUUAUGCGAGCAACACUACAAAUAGCACGGAAAGUGUUCAAGAACUGAUAGGUAAGAUUUUCCAUCGAUUAGAUGAUUUAGCUCGGCAGCGAGAAGUAGUUUUUGAGGAUAGGCCUAGUUCUUACGAUCCUUAUUCCAGAGGCCAUCCUUAUGUUGCUCCUACUUGCCAUAUUUGCGGAUUUCAGGGCCAUUCGCCCGCUGAAUGUCAGCGUGGCUACUCUCACAUUCCAGAUUGUUUUGGCAUGAGCUUCACUCAAGAGCAUAGCUCAUACCAAAACAAUUACUCAUAUGGGUGGCCUGAAAACCCGAAUAUGUCAUAUAGGAGCAACAACCCUGAGAUCUCACCGUUUGCUUCUAGUAAUCAUAUGCAGGGAUCUAGGUAUGAAGAGGAGAGCCACAACUAUGCUCCACAACAGUCUUAUUCAACUCCUAUUCAUAUACUUCAGCACCAGGAGAUGUUUCCAAUGGAGUUAAAUGGUCCUACAUUUGGUCAACCAACACCUUCAACACAAGUGCCUACUCAAGAUGAGUUCGAUGACAUAGACAAGCUCGCACUUUUGAGUCUCGAGUUCACUUGGAGUGCCGAGGAUGAUCCUAUUAGGAAGGUUAUACUAGAUGAAAUGAAAAAGAUCAAGAGUGGAAAAGAGCUAGUGGAAGAAGUAAGGAAGAUUGAGAAGAACAUCAACGCUGGCAGCACUAUUUCUUCACAGCUAGAGCUGAAUGUUGCUGAGAUUCCCCUUGAUACAUGUGAGGUUCCCACACCGUCACAUCCAGUUGAGCAAGAUAGCAAGAGUCCAGAGGAAGAAAGACCUCAGAUUGAAGAAGAUGAACUAGAAGACAAGGAACAAGAUGAUCAAGAGCUGCAAUUCCCAAGUGAUCAAGUUGAAGACUCAUCAUCUACUACUCCUGAAGAAGUACAAGAAGCUGCUGUAGAUGAAGAUGAAGAACCUGAGAUUCAUUUGCCUAUUGUCAUACCAGAGCGUGAUGUGUCAGGUUUAUCUAAUCCUCUUAAUGACAUGUCUUCAUAUGAUUUGUUUGCUUCUACCUUGCAUUGCAUGAUGCCAUCCGUUAAAGUAGAUUUGAAAAAGUAUUUGCUUGGAUAUGAUCAUAUAUACCCUGUUAGUGGCAUUACUCACAUUAAUGAUGAUCACAGUUACUUUCCUCGUGCUAGACCUAUGCUUAAUGAAACAUAUCAUUCUUAUGCUAAUCUUGAGCUUAAUGAAAAAUAUCAUCCUCAUGUUAGUGUUGACUUUGCUGAUUUCUACCAUCCUAAACAUGUGCUUUAUAGCUAUGCUUAUGUAGUUGGAUAUUCGAUUGAUGACUUGGAGGGUAUUAUCCCUACCACUUGUAUUGUCUCUUUCGUUGAGUGCUCUUUCAGGUUCUUGCUUAUGCACGAAUCACUACAUGCUGACCAAGUUCGAGAUGCCAUUCCCUGGGACCCCGGUGGACCCAUGGCAUGGGGAUGA
rnacentral:rRNA from 1 species